rnacentral:rRNA from 1 species
CUGGAUCAGUGGCGAACGGGUGAGUAACACGUGAGCAAUCUGCCCCUGACUCUGGGAUAACAGUUGGAAACAGCUGCUAAUACCGGAUACGAGACGUGACCGCAUGGUCAAUGUUUGGAAAGAAUUUCGGUCAGGGAUGAGCUCGCGGCCUAUCAGCUUGUUGGUGAGGUAAUGGCUCACCAAGGCGUCGACGGGUAGCCGGCCUGAGAGGGUGACCGGCCACACUGGGACUGAGACACGGCCCAGACUCCUACGGGAGGCAGCAGUGGGGAAUAUUGCACAAUGGGCGGAAGCCUGAUGCAGCAACGCCGCGUGAGGGACGACGGCCUUCGGGUUGUAAACCUCUUUUAGCAGGGAAGAAGCGAAAGUGACGGUACCUGCAGAAAAAGCACCGGCUAACUACGUGCCAGCAGCCGCGGUAAUACGUAGGGUGCAAGCGUUAUCCGGAAUUAUUGGGCGUAAAGAGCUCGUAGGCGGUUUGUCGCGUCUGCUGUGAAAACUGGAGGCUCAACCUCCAGCCUGCAGUGGGUACGGGCAGACUAGAGUGCGGUAGGGGAGAUUGGAAUUCCUGGUGUAGCGGUGGAAUGCGCAGAUAUCAGGAGGAACACCGAUGGCGAAGGCAGAUCUCUGGGCCGUAACUGACGCUGAGGAGCGAAAGGGUGGGGAGCAAACAGGCUUAGAUACCCUGGUAGUCCACCCCGUAAACGUUGGGAACUAGUUGUGGGGUCCAUUCCACGGAUUCCGUGACGCAGCUAACGCAUUAAGUUCCCCGCCUGGGGAGUACGGCCGCAAGGCUAAAACUCAAAGGAAUUGACGGGGACCCGCACAAGCGGCGGAGCAUGCGGAUUAAUUCGAUGCAACGCGAAGAACCUUACCAAGGCUUGACAUAUACGAGAACGGGCCAGAAAUGGUCAACUCUUUGGACACUCGUAAACAGGUGGUGCAUGGUUGUCGUCAGCUCGUGUCGUGAGAUGUUGGGUUAAGUCCCGCAACGAGCGCAACCCUCGUUCUAUGUUGCCAGCACGUAAUGGUGGGAACUCAUGGGAUACUGCCGGGGUCAACUCGGAGGAAGGUGGGGAUGACGUCAAAUCAUCAUGCCCCUUAUGUCUUGGGCUUCACGCAUGCUACAAUGGCCGGUACAAAGGGCUGCAAUACCGUGAGGUGGAGCGAAUCCCAAAAAGCCGGUCCCAGUUCGGAUUGAGGUCUGCAACUCGACCUCAUGAAGUCGGAGUCGCUAGUAAUCGCAGAUCAGCAACGCUGCGGUGAAUACGUUCCCGGGUCUUGUACACACCGCCCGUCAAGUCAUGAAAGUCGGUAACACCUGAAGCCGG